GCCACCAUAGCUCAGUGGUAAGAGCACUGCUCUUGUAAGCCAGGGUCGUCAGUUCAAUCCUCACUGUUGGCU
rnacentral:tRNA from 13 species